rnacentral:rRNA from 1 species
GUGAGGAAUUUUCCGCAAUGGGCGAAAGCCUGACGGAGCAAUGCCGCGUGAAGGAUGAAGGCCUAUGGGUUGUAAACUUCUUUUCUCAGAAAAGAAUUAUGACGGUAUCUGAGGAAUAAGCAUCGGCUAACUCUGUGCCAGCAGCCGCGGUAAGACAGAGGAUGCAAGCGUUAUCCGGAAUGAUUGGGCGUAAAGCAUCUGUAGGUUGUUUAAAAAGUAUUCUGUCAAAGAUUAGGGCUUAACCCUAGAUAGGCAGAAUAAACUUUUAAGCUAGAGUUUGGUAGAGGCAGAGGGAAUUCCCGGUGGAGCGGUGAAAUGCGUAGAUAUCGGGAGGAACACCAAAGGCGAAGGCACUCUGCUGGGCCAAUACUAACACUGAGAGACGAAAGCGAGGGGAGCAAAUGGGAUUAGAAACCCGGGUAGUCC